rnacentral:rRNA from 1 species
UCCGACCUCAGAUCGAACGAGAAUACCCGCCGAAUUUAAGCAUAUUAAUAAGCGGAGGAAAAGAAACUAACGAGGAUUCCUAAAGUAACGGCGAGUGAAAUAGGAUCAGUCCAGCGCCGAAUCUCCCGUCCUUCCGACGGCGAGAACUGUGGCGUGAAGGAAAACAGUAUUCGAUCGAUUCGCCUCUUCUCAAGUUCGUUUGAUCGCGGCCAAUACCUACGGAGGGUGCGAGGCCCGUGCACGACGAGACGAGCGUUCGAUUCGUUUUCCUCAGAGUCGGGUUGCUCGGGAUUGCAGCCUAAAUCGGGUGGUAAACUCCAUCUAAGACUAAAUAUCAGCACGAAACCGAUAGCGAACAAGUACCGUGAGGGAAAGUUGAAAAGAACUUUGAAGAGAGAGUUCAAAAGUACGUGAAACCGCUUAAAGGUAAGCGGAAGAGCUCGAAAAGGAGGUGCGCGGUUCAGUCGACGUGGUACCGUACUCCGGUCCCCAGGAGAAAGACCGUUCGCGGUCCUCCCUCGGUGCCGGUUCCAACGGUGCUACCCGAUGCAUUCCGCGGACUAUCGUUAUCGCGACCGAUCGCCGGUGCUUUCCCUACGCGACGCGGGAUCCGAAAGGCUUCACAAGUCGCGGUAGGGCGAACGCUUGCCGGUGAUCGAUUGACUUGGCGGUCGCCCGUUCGGGCGUACUCGCGGUGACGCGGAUCAUUUCCCGACUCGGUUCGAUGUGACGGUUCGCCGUCGUCGAUCGUCGAGGGGGUGAUCGGUUGCCGCGGUACUAACCGUCGUUAGGUCCGCGAUUUUAAUCGUUCGACGCUUUUCCGACCCGUCUUGAAACACGGACCAAGGAGUCUAACAGGUACGCGAAUCUCCGGGAUUUUUCGAAACCCAGGGGUGUAACGAAAGUAAAGGAUUCCCCGCGAAUCCGAGGAAAGAUACCGGCUYCGGUCGGUCGCAUUUCCGUUCUGUCGUAACCGGAGCAAUCACGGUGCGAUGGAAGAAGAGCGUACACGUUGGGACCCGAAAGAUGGUGAACUAUGCCUGGGAAGGAUGAAGCC